GACGAAGGGGGCUAGCGUUGUUCGGAAUUACUGGGCGUAAAGCGAGUGUAGGUGGUUGUCCAAGUUGGAUGUGAAAGCCUUGAGCUCAACUCAAGAAAUGCAUUCAGGACUGGGCGGCUAGAGGACCGGAGAGGAUAGUGGAAUUCCAGGUGUAGCGGUGAAAUGCGUAGAUAUCUGGAGGAACACCGGUGGCGAAGGCGGCAUCCUGGACCGGCAUUGACGCUGAGGCGCGAAAGCCAGGGGAGCAAACGGG
rnacentral:rRNA from 1 species